rnacentral:rRNA from 1 species
GACGAACGCUGGCGGCGUGCUUAACACAUGCAAGUCGACAUGAGUGGCGGACGGGUGUGUAAUACGUUGUUAACCUGCCCUCCUUUUUGGGAUAGGACUUGGAAACUGGUUCUAAUACAGAAUAAAGGGGGAUGUGUGCUCGGCCUAUCGGUUAGUUGGUGGGGUGAUGGGGUGCCAAGGCGUUGCCGGGUUGCGGGCCUGAGAGGGCGAACGGCGACAUGGGGACUGAGCUGCGGCCCAGGCUAGUAAGGGGGGGAGAAGUGGGUGAUAGUGCCCAAAGGGUGAAAGACUGAUGCAGCGACGACGAGGAGGGGCUGAAGGCUGUAGGGUUGUAACAGUCGGUAGGUAUGGAACGGUUAGGGGGAGAAGAAGCGCCGGCUAACUACGUGCCAGCAGCCGCGGUAAUAC